rnacentral:rRNA from 1 species
AACGAACGCUGGCGGCAUGCCUAACACAUGCAAGUCGAACGAGACCUUCGGGUCUAGUGGCGCACGGGUGCGUAACGCGUGGGAACCUGCCCUUAGGUUCGGAAUAACUCCCCGAAAGGGGUGCUAAUACCGGAUAAUGUCUUCGGACCAAAGAUUUAUCGCCAUUGGAUGGGCCCGCGUUGGAUUAGCUAGUUGGUAGGGUAAAAGCCUACCAAGGCGACGAUCCAUAGCUGGUCUGAGAGGAUGAUCAGCCACACUGGGACUGAGACACGGCCCAGACUCCUACGGGAGGCAGCAGUGGGGAAUAUUGGACAAUGGGCGAAAGCCUGAUACAGCAAUGCCGCGUGAGUGAUGAAGGCCUUAGGGUUGUAAAGCUCUUUUACCCGGGAUGAUAAUGACAGUACCGGGAGAAUAAGCUCCGGCUAACUCCGUG